AGGGCACCACCAGGAGUGGAGCCUGCGGCUUAAUUUGACUCAACACGGGAAAUCUCACCAGGCCCGGACACCGGAAGGAUUGACAGAUUGAGAGCUCUUUCUUGAUUCGGUGGGUGGUGGUGCAUGGCCGUUCUUAGUUGGUGGAGCGAUUUGUCUGGUUAAUUCCGAUAACGAACGAGACUCUGGCCUACUAACUAGACGUUGGAUCCCUUUGUGGGUCCACCGCAGCUUCUUAGAGGGACGGGCGGCGUUUAGCCGCACGAGAUUGAGCAAUAACAGGUCUGUGAUGCCCUUAGAUGUUCUGGGCUGCACGCGCGCUACACUGAAGGAAUCAGCGUGUGUUCCCUAUCCGAAAGGAUUGGGAAACCCGUUGAACCUCCUUCGUGAUGGGGAUUGGGGAUUGCAAUUAUUCCCCAUGAACGAGGAAUUCCCAGUAGGCGCGAGUCAUAAGCUUGCGUCGAUUACGUCCCUGCCCUUUGUACACACCGCCCGUCGCUACUACCGAUCGAGUGAUUUAGU
rnacentral:rRNA from 1 species